rfam:Citrus clementina cultivar Clemenules unplaced genomic scaffold scaffold_8, whole genome shotgun sequence.
UAAAAUACUCUAGAGUUUGACCAAGUUUGGCAAAGUUAGGUAAAGUUAGGCAAAGUUAGGCAAAGCCUCCCCUAUAAAUAUGGAAUGGCAUUAGGCAUUUGUAUCCAACAAGCAAUGUAUUCUCUCUUUGUGUAAUACAAGUUUCUUUGGCUCAAUUGCUCUCUUCUCUUGUUCGAGAAUCUCUAGGCUUACUUAGCAACAUUCGGCAAAGUUGUCUAAGUGCCGCACGGGUUAGCUGCGCAAAACACUCAUCCCGUGACACUACGCUCUGUAUACAUUAGCAUGGGAUAACAUCAUAGGAUUUCGGUCCUAUUCUGUUGGCCUUCGGGAUCGGAGUAAUGAUUAACAGGGACAGUCGGGGGCCAUUCGUAUUUCAUAGUCAGAGGUUAAAUUCUUGGAUUUAUGAAAGACGAACAACUGCGAAAGCAUUUGCCAAGGAUGUUUUCAUUAAUCAAGAACGAAAGUUGGGGGCUCGAAGACGAUCAGAUACCGUCCUAGUCUCAACCACAAACGAUGCCGACCAGGGAUCAGCGGAUGUUACUUUUAGGACUCCGCUGGCACCUUAUGAGAAAUCAAAGUUUUUGGGUU